GUGCUGUGAAGAUAAUUGCGCAAUAUGUGAUGAUUGGGGUCUUCACAAUGUCUGAUAUCAGAUCACAAAAUAGCGCAUCUGAGCCU